rnacentral:rRNA from 1 species
CCUACGGGUGGCAGCAGUGAGGAAUAUUGGUCAAUGGACGAGAGUCUGAACCAGCCAAGUAGCGUGAAGGAUGACUGCCAUAUGGGUUGUAAACUUCUUUUAUAUGGGAAUAAAACGUUCCACGUGUGGGAUUUUGUAUGUACCAUAUGAAUAAGGAUCGGCUAACUCCGUGCCAGCAGCCGCGGUAAUACGGAGGAUCCGAGCGUUAUCCGGAUUUAUUGGGUUUAAAGGGAGCGUAGGUGGAUUGUUAAGUCAGUUGUGAAAGUUUGCGGCUCAACCGUAAAAUUGCAGUUAAAACUGGCAGUCUUGAGUACAGUAGAGGUGGGCGGAAUUCGUGGUGUAGCGGUGAAAUGCUUAGAUAUCACGAAGAACUCCGAUUGUGAAGGCAGUUCACUGGACUGCAACUGACACUGAGGCUCGAAAGUGUGGGUAUCAAACAGGAUUAGAUACCCCAGUAGUC